rnacentral:lncRNA from 1 species
AAUUUUGUUAAUUAUAAAAUUGUUUAAGAGGAGUAAAUUAUCAUUUCAAGACUUCGUUUUGAGCUUAUAGGUAAAUUACGUUACGUGUAGUGAAGUACGAUAAAAAAAAUAUUCUAUUUGUCUUCAUAUGUAAUAUAUAGUGUAAAUAAUAUAACAAUUAUCGUAAUAAAUCGAUUACGCUAUAUAUUUUAAAGUUCCAUAAAAAAAACGCAGAAGUAUGCUCCUAUAUGUUUUUUCUCGAACUCUAUUUAUUGGUCUCAAUAAAAAGCGGGUCUUAAAUUGAGUUGGAGACUUGCUUCAGCAAUGGCUUCGUAAGCUAUCGAACGAUGAUAAAUACGCAGUUCUAUCAAGUGAAGAAGCAUGGAAAAUAUUUAAAUUAAUAGAAUCACUAC